UACACAUGCAAGUCGAGCGGAUGACAGGAGCUUGCUCCUGAAUUCAGCGGCGGACGGGUGAGUAAUGCCUAGGAAUCUGCCUGGUAGUGGGGGACAACGUUUCGAAAGGAACGCUAAUACCGCAUACGUCCUACGGGAGAAAGCAGGGGACCUUCGGGCCUUGCGCUAUCAGAUGAGCCUAGGUCGGAUUAGCUAGUUGGUGAGGUAAUGGCUCACCAAGGCGACGAUCCGUAACUGGUCUGAGAGGAUGAUCAGUCACACUGGAACUGAGACACGGUCCAGACUCCUACGGGAGGCAGCAGUGGGGAAUAUUGGACAAUGGGCGAAAGCCUGAUCCAGCCAUGCCGCGUGUGUGAAGAAGGUCUUCGGAUUGUAAAGCACUUUAAGUUGGGAGGAAGGGUUGUAGAUUAAUACUCUGCAAUUUUGACGUUACCGACAGAAUAAGCACCGGCUAACUCUGUGCCAGCAGCCGCGGUAAU
rnacentral:rRNA from 1 species